UUACGGUCAUAUCAUGUUGAAUGUUACGGUGCUCGUCCAAUCAUUGAAGUUAAGCGACGUCGAGCUUGGUCAGUACUAAGAUGGGAAACCCCUUGGCAAUUCCAGGU